CAGCCGCCGCGGUAAUACGAAGGGGGCUAGCGUUGUUCGGAUUUACUGGGCGUAAAGCGUGCGCAGGCGGUUUGUUAAGACAGAUGUGAAAUCCCCGGGCUCAACCUGGGAACUGCAUUUGUGACUGGCAAGCUAGAGUGUGGCAGAGGGGGGUGGAAUUCCGCGUGUAGCAGUGAAAUGCGUAGAUAUGCGGAGGAACACCGAUGGCGAAGGCAGCCCCCUGGGCCAACACUGACGCUCAUGCACGAAAGCGUGGGGAGCAAACAGGAUUAGAUACCCCCGUAGUCCCUGUCUCUUAUAC
rnacentral:rRNA from 1 species